rnacentral:Y_RNA from 1 species
GGCUGGUCUGAAGGUAAUGAGUUAUCUCACUUGAUUGUUCAGUCAGUUAGAGAUUGAACUCCUUGUUCUACUACUUUCCCCGCUUCUCACUAUUGCACUUGACUAGUCUUAA